rnacentral:rRNA from 1 species
GACGAACGCUGGCGGCGUGCCUAACACAUGCAAGUCGAGCGGAGUAGUAGUAAUACUAUUUAGCGGCGGACGGGUGAGUAACACGUGGGCAACCUGCCUUAUACAGGGGGAUAGCCAACCGAAAGGUUGAUUAAUACCGCAUAACACCAGAACAUCACAUGAUGAACUGGUCAAAGGAGAAAUCCGGUAUAAGAUGGGCCCGCGCCCCAUUAGCUAGUUGGUGAGGUAACGGCUCACCAAGGCGACGAUGGGUAGCCGAUCUGAGAGGAUGAACGGCCACAUUGGAACUGAGACACGGUCCAGACUCCUACGGGUGGCUG